rfam:Bulbul coronavirus HKT11-796, complete genome.
GACAAAGCUCAAAAUCAAUACGUUAUACGUAUUGUAUUUUGUAGCCCUCUAGCUUCGCUAGCUCGAUUCCGACACCAAUCCAGGUGCGUUGUGCUGGACAGUGCCUGCCCGGUUUAGUGACUUACAGAUUUGAUCACGCCUAACCACAGUUCAUUGUGGAGUUUCGGCUGUUGAUUGUCUGUUUGUUGCAACGGGGUCUUACUGUGUUCUUUGAGGACUACCUAGGUAACACCACAUUCAGUGGUGGUUUUCCCUAGGCUCCUUAUUAGGGCACCAGA